CUCCUCUCAGGGUCUCACCUGGAGAGUUUCCAGUCCUCUACCAGUCUCGACUACAGGAGGGAGAGUCAAGCAGAGGCCUAUCCAUUCCAUUCCUAGCUUGAUCAGUGGUUAGCGAGUGGGAGGCAAUUUGUUACAAUU